CUGCAAUCGGAUCCCGGUGUUUUUGGCGUCCGCGUACGGUUUCGGUGCGGUGCCGCUCUUAGGAUGCUGCCUUAUAUAACACAGUCAGCUGAGAGGCGAACGCGUUGCGGGGACUAGAAUGAGAGCAACAGCUGGGCUAAGGCGGACGCCAGCUGAGCUAACGGAUGGUAACCCCGACAACGAUAACUAUAACGACUCCGCCCGUCCAGGACAGUCAUCAGAUCCAGUUACCAUGGAGAGCAGUUCAUCUCCACCGGCAACACACACGGAUAGUGAAAACUCGGGGCAAAGCCUUUGGGGCGACCAGGAAGCGGAGGAGCACCAUUACACAGAGGUCCAUGGGCUGAAGCAGCCAAUCGGGGACGAGCAGGACGAAGAAGAGGCUGCAGGGAAAGAAAAUGUCGUCAGGGAUGCAGAUGAGUGUGAUUACCUUGUGUUUGCAAUCGGAGAGCGAAAUGGGAAUGAUAAAGGAGAUGAAAGUGGACAGGACACGGGUAGAGGAGGAGAUAAGGUAGAAGAUGGAGAAAGAGGGGAAACAGAAGGAAAGGAAGAAGGAAGUGGAGCUACAGUGAGGGAAGAUGGAGGAAGAGGAGGUGAAAAAGAAGAGGAUGAAUGCAUAGGAGAGACAGUGGGCGAGAUGAGUAAUGAUGCUCCGUCAAAGCUCCUCCUCAUCUCUUGCAGCCCGGAGCGUCUUUCAUCAUCAGAGCCCCUGAUGGUCCCCUCAUGUCCCUCAGAGCAGCCCAUGGAGGCCAUGUUGCAAGAGGCCUUAGGUCACAACAUUGGCGAAAGAGAUGACCUCAGUGACGUCCAGCACACAGGCUUCCCCCAAGCUGAGGUGGCUAGUGUGUACUCGGACAGCGACGCAGGGGACGGCCAGUGGGCUAGCUUUGCACGCUGUGAUGUCACCAACCAGGAAGAAGCAGGCGGAGGAAUUCACAAUACCACCUGUGAAGGAGAGAGCAAGGAAGAGGAGGGAGGAGGAGCCGAUAAGGGGAGAGCCGAAGAACAGUUUGAGGCAGAAGAAGCGAGUGAAACACAGGACCAAAGGGAGGAGGAGGAGGAGGAGGAGGAGGGGAGCAGACACGUGGAUGAUGAAGAGCAGAUGACGUCCAGGAGAGAUCUAUUUCCACGCACACCUUCUGUCAGCUCCACGGGCAGCUCCACAGAGCCUGACAGAAAGGCUCCCGUGGAUCUCUGUGUCCAAGAAGAGGCCCACAGUGGAAACGUCUCCACUGAGCAUGUGGACUUUCUGUUGGCCCGACAGCAGUGGAGGAAGAUGGAGGAGGAGGUCAAAGGUCAGCCAAUCCCCAAACCAGGCCUCAGAGCUCAGGGGAGCUUCCAGGGCACCCACAGCUCCCUGUACCCGCCCACUCGCAGCCCCCGACUCAAACACAGGGAGAUCCAUCCUGCAGCGGCCAUGGAGCCCACGCUGUCCUCCACCCUGUCCUCCACCCUGUCCCCCGGCUCGGAGGACUCGGGCCUGGAGGAGCCGGAGAGUGCAGUGGAGAGAGAGAUCCGCCGGACUCUGGAGAGGGAGGAAUGCCACCGGAGAGAGAGGGGGGGGGUCACACAGGGCCUCACCGUACCCAGAGCCUCCACCGGGCAGAGCGGACGAUCUCCCCCCAGACCUCCAGCGUGCCGCACCCCUACACUGUCCAUCUCCCCUUCUCCUUCCUCUUCUCUUCCCCGAUCUGUCUACCAUGAGAUGACGGCCAAUAAUGUCAUUAUCCUGGAGCCCGGCUGCUCCGGCUCCACCUCCAGAAACCUCUUACUCUCCUCCGCCACCGAUUGGCCGCUUAGCCAGGAUGCUGUGCCCUCCGCCAACGUCAUCGUCGUUGAGACCUCUAACGUGAUCAUUCGCAGCGCAUCCGAAUUCUGUCUAAGCUCCGCCCCCGUGUCCGCGGAGACCCAGGAGAGCACCUUCUCGUCCAAUCCGUUCUUUAAGCUACGCUCCAUCAGCAGCCAAUCGCUGGUGGAGCGGGAGAUCCGCAUGGUGAGGCAGAGGGAGGAGGAAUGGAGGAGGCAGCGGGAGGAGAUGUGGAGGAGGAGGAGGGAGGAGGAGUGGAGGAGAGGGAGAGAGAGGUACGACACCGUGCUGGUGUCUCCUGGCCUGAGCGAUAACAUCAGCUACAACGUGCCAGAGGUCCUAGAUAGAUGUGUGUCCUCUCCUUCGUCCCCCUCCAGGACCCGCAAAAUGGAAAGAUCCAGCAUGUCUUGUGACCACAAGUGGUUCAGCUGAAUCUUCCCCUCCCUCCAGUUCCCCUCAUCCCUCUCUCUGACGCCGAAGCGACCGAACGCCAUGGCGCAGCGAUGGGAGGCCUCCCUAUUAGCCAAUCAGAAGAAGGAGUGACCAUUUCAAAGCCCACAAUGAGAUCCGACGCCUCCGUUCCUUCCUGCUUCUCUCCAGAAAAGUCACACGGUGUACUGUAAGGUCUUUGAAAAGGUGUGGCUUGAACCCGUGGGUCACAGAUGUGCUGUCUGCGGGACGUCCUGUGAGAAGAGGACUGGUCCUGUCCAACAGCUUUGUUUCAAAGAGUAAGGUUUGGCUUUCCUUAAUGCUUGAACGUCUGAAAAGGUCCUGCUUUCAAACUCAAACUGGUCUGCUGCAUGAUCUGUGAAACAUUGGGGCACAAUGCCACACGUAGGACAUUGUUUAUUAUAGAUAAUAACUUCAUUGACUCAUUCACAAUACUAACCGCAGUCAUAGUACCACCACUGUUUUUGACAUGUCAUGCAGACUUCUAUGUAAACUUUAGAAACACAAUAUUUAUUAUUACCAGUAACACAAUUUGAUUUCGAGCUAUUUAUAAAUGAUGGCAAACAGAUAUGCAUUGAGUUGUAUGACUAUGAAAAAGGUCUUGGCAGUUGCAUUUUAAUUUUAGAUAAAGUAUGAAUUUAGUCCCUAUAUUUUUGAUGUGAUGAACAUAUACAGCGUAUAUUUUACCGUAUUGUAGCUGCGUAGGGGUUUGAGAAGUGACAUUCAAAAAUGAUUUAGCAUGUUCUUUACAAAUGACAAUUCAUAGCAUUUAAGUGCCAACUCAGACUGAAAAAAUCACUGCCUUAAGCCGCUGAGAACAGCACACACACACACACACACACACACACACACACAGAAAGACAAAAAAUGAAUCCAUCAUCCAUUUCGCACAUCAUCUCUUUUCCACAAAGGCAAAACACGUAUUCAAGUAUAAAAAAACUGUCCUAUUUUAUGGAAAAUCAUUUUUUAUGGAAAUGUAAGAAUGGAAACUGGCACAUUCUUUCCCCUUGUUAUGACCCGCCCUACUCCGCCUCUGAUUGGCUGCUCAUCGUGGCCUUUGGUUUGGUUGUGAGAUGAUGAAAAACGGUAGAGCCACAGGGACGGAGCCGGUGGCUCAAUUAGCUUACAGCUAACGGAGGUAUAGUUACUUUGUUACUUUAGCGGUAUUUCAAAAUUAUAUAAUUAACUCGAGUAUUCACAUGGCUUUAAAAAAAGCUGUCAAUUCCACAUUUGUAGCCCAAAGGUUUUAUGCGUGGAGCACACUGUUGUUAUUGCUAUAUAACUGUCCGUGGCUGUGAUGUUCAAGCAAUAUAACUGAAGCACUUCUAAAACAGAGAUUCUAAUCCAGUCUAGUGAAGACUUUUACAUAUUUUAUGUCAUGUUUUGAUUCCUAAAAAGAGAAUUGUUUUAUUGAAUUUGUGCUGCAUAUAUUUAUUGAAUCGGGACAAGCUUAUGAAUCCUUAAAGCUUUUAUUUCUAAAAGGUUCAUAAUAUAUUGUGUCAGAAUGGCUGCAUGAAUUGAAGGUCUGCGAUGUUUUUUAGAUGGAUCUUUUCUGUGGAGUGUGUGUGCGUGAUAAUAAUAAUAAUCCAUCCUCAAUACAUCGUACAUAAAUAGAAAUCCUUCCUCCUUAUUUUGUAGCUCCAGAAGGAGCUCACUGGGUUCCUGAUGAACUCAACUGUCUAUUACAGGUGCAUUCAAGUCAACUCAGAAAUAAGAGACUUCACCUGCCAGGUUGCGAAUAAUACCAGGCGAGUAGAAUGCUAGUGGGUUUUUAUGAAUAUAUUCUGAUUGUGCUCUGAGCAUCGAUGUGAUGUAACACUGUGUUAAGGAAUAAACUCUCCAUCCGCUAAUAAAGUGCAUUUCAGCUGUGAGUUCCUGUGCAGCCUGAAGAUGUGUCCAAACAUCUGACGGGGCUACGAUCUAUACUUUCUGCAAUCAAUUUGCAGAGGUUUGGAUGUUCUUGAAAUGUGCUGUAUUGCAUGUGAAAGAAGUCGGUUACAGUGCGUCCACUCUUCACACUGGCUGUUUCUGCCCCAUCUCACCACACCACACCCAGUGGCAAUGUGAGGAAACGGAAAAACUAUAUACUAUAAUAUUGUGUUGGCAGCAGAAGGACAUGAGCAUCAGUAAAUAUUGGCUUUGUGUGUUUUCUUGCACACUCGAGUCACGUCAGAUGGGGUUGGUACGUUGUUACAUUGUUACAUCGUUUCGCUAUUAUUUUCACACAAUCCUUGAACUUGUUAUUCAAGGCCCAUAUUUAACAUCAUUUUGACGUACCAUGCCAGCGUUGUUUGCAUGUCAUGGUGUUGCUGCGUUAGCUUUGCUGUAUGAAGGCACAGUAGAUAUAUAUAUAUAUAUAUAUAUAUAUAUAUAUAUAUACCUGGUCUGCAUCCAGUUUAGUGGGACAGCUGAACUGAUACUUUAUAACUGUAGUUUUAAGAAGGAUGUGCAUUUGUGAAUACACUGUGUGACAGAAUAUUCCGUACGGCUCCUAGAAACAGCUUUUCCUCACGAGCCGAGCAUCAUUUAUUCAGGUUCUGUUCUUUUCUUAGUUUAUUUGCCUUGCGCUUCAUUCAUUUAUUGUUGCCAAAUGAAAGGUCUUGUGAUGACAUCUUCAAUAAAACGUAACUUCUGAAACCCGCAAUGUGGUCACGGCCGG
ensembl:lncRNA